rnacentral:rRNA from 1 species
UAAAGUUGUUGCAGUUAAAAAGCUCGUAGUUGAAUUUCGGGGCCAGCAGGUUGGUCGUGCCACUGGUAUGCACUGGCUUCGCUGAUUCCUCCUUUCUGAAGAACUGUAAUGUCAUUAAUUUGGUGUUGCAGGGAAACAGGACUGUUACUUUGAAAAAAUUAGAGUGUUUAAAGCAGGCUAACGCUUGAAUACAUUAGCAUGGAAUAAUGAAAUAGGACGUUCGAUCCUAUUUUGUUGGUUUCUAGGAUUGACGUAAUGAUUAAUAGGG